rnacentral:sRNA from 1 species
GCGAUGAGCUGAAUUGUGUAAGUCGAGCACAUACCUUAUGGUACACACUAUGUGGAGUGUGGUGACUCGCCUCAAUUUUUUCGAACAAGGCACCUGUUUUUAACAGGUGCC